rnacentral:rRNA from 1 species
AUUGAACGCUGGCGGCAGGCCUAACACAUGCAAGUCGAGCGGAAGGGGCUUCGGCCCCGAGAGCGGCGGACGGGUGAGGAUAGCGUGGGAAUCUGCCUGUAGAUGGGGGAUAGCCCGGAGAAAUCCGGAUUAAUACCGCAUAAUACCUGAGGGUUAAAGUGGAGGAUCGCAGACUUCACGUCUACAGAUGAGCCCACGUCAGAUUAGCUAGUUGGUAGGGUAAAGGCCUACCAAGGCGACGAUCUGUAGCUGGCCUGAGAGGGUGGCCAGCCACACUGGAACUGAGACACGGUCCAGACUCCUACGGGAGGCAGCGGUGGGGAAUAUUGGACAAUGGGCGCAAGCCUGAUCCAGCCAUGCCGCGUGUGUGAAGAAGGCCUUCGGGUUGUAAAGCACUUUAAGUUGGGAGGAAGGUUCCAAGGCUAAUACCUUUGGGAAUUGACGUUACCGACAGAAUAAGCACCGGCUAAUUCCGUGCCAGCCGCCGCAGUAA